UACGUAGGGUGCGAGCGUUAAUCGGAAUUACUGGGCGUAAAGCGUGCGCAGGCGGUUCGUUGUGUCGGCGGUGAAAGCCCCGGGCUUAACCUGGGAAUGGCCGUUGAAACUGGCGAACUGGAGUGUGGCAGAGGGGGGUGGAAUUCCGGCGUGUAGCAGUGAAAUGCGUAGAGUAUGCGGAGGAACACCGAUGGCGAAGGCACCCUCCGGUGCGACACUGACGCUCA
rnacentral:rRNA from 1 species